AGUACCAGCGAGUGAGAAAACACGAGGUGCGAGUACGGCUUCGCAGUGUGAUGCCCUAACCAUCGAAUUUGGGAAACGAAGAGUGGCAUACUCGCCCCCAAUACUCUCACUCCCACUCCUCUCUCUCUGUCUCUCUGUUACGGACGACAGCGAUCGAUCUUCAAUCUCCAUCCCUUUUCCCCCUCCUCUCUACUUUUUCAGGUAUGUUGUAAAAGAUUAACUCAGGAAUAAAAAAGUUGUCUUGAUGGGAAUAGACCUUGAGCAGCCAUCAAGAGAACAUCAUAAGGAAGACAGGUUACUAGUGAAUGUAAGUGUGGGGGAUCCUCAAGGUGAAGUGUGCAAUAGAGAUGGAGCUACUCUGAGUGAUAAUGCUAAACGUGAUAAAGAAACCACCAGACAAAGUGUGAGUGGAUGCACAUCAAAUAGUAAACAUAAAGUGCAUGCCUCAGAUGGUGUGCCUGUGAAUUCUCAUACAAACAUAGAGCCCUAUGAUGGACUGGAAUUUGAAUCCAAGGAGGACGCUUUUUCAUUCUAUAAAGAAUAUGCCAAGUCUGUUGGGUUUGCCACCAUAAUAAAGGCCAGUCGCCGAUCAAGAAUAUCUGGAAAGUUCAUUGAUGCUAAAUUUGUGUGUACUAGAUAUGGAAGUAAGCGAGAAUCUGGUACAUCUGACACUCCAGAACCUGUUCUAAAUGCAGUCAGCGCAACAAGCAUUCCUAACAAGAGGAAACGAGGUAGAAUGAAUCGAUCUUGGUCAAAAACAGAUUGCAAGGCUUGCAUGCAUGUUAAGAGAAGGCAGGAUGGAAGAUGGGUUAUUCGUACUUUCAUAAAAGAUCAUAACCAUGAAAUUUUUCCAGACCAAGCCUAUUACUUUCGAGGUCAUAGGAACAUAGAUCUAGGUAAUAGUAAUAUUGAUGCUUUGAAUGCUAUCCGGGCAAGAAAUAAAAAGAUGUACGUGACAAUGUCUAGACAGUCUGGUGUAGUUAAGAAAAUCAGUAAUCAAAAGAGCGGCAUCUCAAAUAGUGGUCAACAAAUUUUGGCUUUAGAAGAGGGAGAUGCACAAGCUAUGCUUGCUCAUUUUAUGUUCAUGCAAGAUGAGAAUCCCAAUUUCUUCUAUGCAUUAGAUUUGAAUGAAGAACAGCGUUUGAAAAAUGUUUUUUGGGUUGAUGCCAAAGGAAGGCUUGAUUAUGGAAAUUUUGAUGAUGUAGUGUUUUUUGACACUACAUAUAUCAAGAAUGAAUAUAAAUUGCCAUUUGCUCCCUUUAUCGGGGUGAACCAUCACUGUCAAUUCCUGUUUCUUGGAUGUGCAUUGAUAGCAGAUGAGACUAAAUCUACAUAUGCUUGGGUGAUGCGGGCAUGGCUUAGAGCAAUGGGUCGACAUGCUCCAAAAGUGAUACUAACUGACCAAGACAAAGCCUUGAAGGAAGCUAUUGCUGAGGUUUUUCCAGAUGCUCGCCAUUGUUUUUGUUUGUGGCAUAUAUUGACCAAAAUUCCAGAAAAGCUCAGUUAUGUGUUGAGGCAACAUGAAAAUUUCACUACUAAAUUUAAUAAGUGCAUUUUUACGUCUUCAACAGAUGAGAAGUUUGAAAAGAGAUGGAUGAAAAUGGUUGGUAGAUUUGAUUUAGGAAACGAUGUUUGGCUUCAAUCAUUGUAUGAAGAUCGUGAACGAUGGGCUCCAACAUACAUGAGAGACGUUUUCUUGGCAGGGAUGUCUACAACACAACGAUCAGAAAGUAUAAACUCACUCUUUGAUAAAUACAUGCAACGGAAAACUACAUUGAAGGAGUUUUUGGACCAACAUAAAGCAAUUUUACAAGACAAGUGUGAAGAAGAAGCAAAAUCAGAUUUCGAGACAUGGCAUAAACAACCAGGAUUAAAAUCUCCCUCACCUUUUGGGAAACAAAUGGCACCCAUAUACACGCAUGCUAUAUUCAAGAAAUUCCAGGUUGAGGUUUUGGGAGUGGUUGCUUGCCAUCCGAAAAAGGAAAGCGAAGAUGGUGCUACCAUAACAUUCAAGGUUCAAGAUUUUGAAGAAAAUCAAGAUUUUAUUGUGGUUCAGAAUGAAACAACGUCUGAUAUUUCUUGUUCAUGUCGUUUGUUUGAAUACAGUGGUUUCCUCUGUAGACAUGUGAUGAUUGUUCUUCAAAUGUCUGGUGUGCACAACAUUCCAUCUCAGUAUAUUUUGAAACGCUGGACAAAGGAUGCAAAGAGUAGAGAAAUCGGGAGACAGUUGUCCGAUUUGGUCGACUCUAGGGUUCGACGCUACAACGAUUUAUGUCGAUGUGCCUUUAAAUUGGGUGAUGAAGGGUCUUUAUCUCAAGAGAGUUACAAUAUUGCAUUCAAUGCUCUAGAAGAGGCUUUGAAAAAGUGUGAGAGUGUGAAUAACUCCAUUCAAAGUGUGUUAGAUCCUGGCUCGCCUUCAGCUCAUGCCCUCCAUGACUUUGAGGAAGGUACCCAUGGUAACAUGACGCGCAAGACAAAUAAAAAGAAUGAUUUAUCCAGAAAAGGACAGGUACAGUCAGAAACAGAGGUAAUAACCAUGGGGAUGCAUGACAACUGGCAACAAAUGGGACACUCAAAUUUACAAGCACCAACCCUUGGUUGUUCUUAUGAAAUGCAAGAGAGCAUACAAGGGAUGGAGCAACUGAACUCAAGAGUUCCAGUUCCAACUCUUGAUGGCUAUUUUGGUACUCAACAAAUUAUGCAAGGGAUGGGACAGCUAAAUGCAAUGGCUCCAAGCCGUGAUGAUUACUACAGCAAUCAACAGAACAUACAGGGGCUGGGACAAUUGAAUUCGAUAGCUCCAAUUCAUGAUGCCCCUUACCUUGUUCAACAGAGGUUGCAUGGACUGGGCCCCUUACAUUUUAGACCACAAACUAUUCAGAGUUGUUUUGACAUUCAAGACAGUUUGCAGCACAUGGAUCAGUCUGAUGUGGGACCUACACAAUUGCAUGGCAUGGCAUCAAAACAUUUGCAUUCGAAGCACCUCUCUAGGUAGCUGCUAAAUUGGUACGUUUCUUAUGGUCGUCAUAUCCUCUGAAAUGUAUACAUUAUGGAGUGGGGAUCACUGAUUUUUCAGCAAGUUGCUUGAUGGGCUGGUUUUAGGUGUAUAAAAGACCAGAGUAUAUUUACAAAAGAUGAAUUUGUACAAAGGGAUGGACUUGAAUUUUUACUUUCAGUGCUUUUGACAAUGUAGUUUUACUGCAGGAACAACUUUUUGCUAUAAUGAAGUUAAUACUAAUUUAGGGUUUCUUUUGUUUGAGGAAUAGAUCUUUUUUGUAGAGGUUGCUGUAGUGUCAAGUUUGUACAUUAGCCAAAGUUGUAUUCAAUUUUAAUUAGCCUAAAUCAUUUGUUUUUCCCUUGGUUUCA